CCUUCGGGUUGUAAAGCACUUUCAGUUGUGAGGAAAAGUUAGUAGUUAAUACCUGCUAGCCGUGACGUUAACAACAGAAGAAGCACCGGCUAACUCCGUGCCAGCAGCCGCGGUAAUACGGAGGGUGCGAGCGUUAAUCGGAAUUACUGGGCGUAAAGCGCACGCAGGCGGUUUGUUAAGCUAGAUGUGAAAGCCCCGGGCUCAACCUGGGAUGGUCAUUUAGAACUGGCAGACUAGAGUCUUGGAGAGGGGAGUGGAAUUCCAGGUGUAGCGGUGAAAUGCGUAGAUAUCUGGAGGAACAUCAGUGGCGAAGGCGACUCCCUGGCCAAAGACUGACGCUCAUGUGCGAAAGUGUGGGUAGCGAACAGGAUUAGAUACCCUGGUAGUCCACACCGUAAACGCUGUCUACUAGCUGUGUGUGUCUUUAAGACGUGCGUAGCGAAGCUAACGCGCUAAGUAGACCGCCUGGGGAGUACGGCCGCAAGGUUAAAACUCAAAUGAAUUGACGGGGGCCCGCACAAGCGGUGGAGCAUGUGGUUUAAUUCGAUGCAACGCGAAGAACCUUACCUACACUUGACAUGCUGAG
rnacentral:rRNA from 1 species